CCUAUUUGGUUGGUUUGGAUUAAGCGUCUGCUAGUGAAACAGGAAAGAUUAUUAAGACAUAGCAAGAAUGUAAUUCAUUGAAUAUUUAAAAUAAAUUACUGUAUUACAAAUUAAUGCAUGUAGAUAUGGAGAAGCACAUUGGAUUGACAAAGAACAUGAUCGUCUGCAGUGUUCCCAUGAUCAGCAAGCUAGUACACCGU
rnacentral:lncRNA from 1 species